UUUCAGCAGAGCUGUCAAGGAAUCUAUCGUUUCUUCUCAUCUUGGAGAUUGAAGUCCACCAGAUGUUUUCUUAACCAUUAGACUAAUGACACCAAGAAGACACGGGCGGCGGCGAUAUUUUGAAUAAGUUUCCCCCUGUCGGCCUGUUUUUCCUGGAAGCGACUGAAAUUGCUGUUAUGCUUGAACUUGAACGCACGACGGAAUACAGACUGCGGGUCCCGACAGAGGACGGCUUCUCCCUCUCCCAGCAUCAAACCGUGGUUUUCUUGGAACUCGAGUUAUACUAAGAAAAAGGCCCGGACGCCAUCAGAGAAAAACAGGCCACUUCCUCCGAGACACACGCGAAUGAGCAAGUCACCCUGUCCCCCAGGGGGACCCUGUCCCAGCAAAACAGCCCGGGGAGUUUUCACCUUUGCCACCGUUUGGUGGCCUGUUGCGCAGUGGGUAAUGAAAGGGAAACUUCCACAGAACCAAUGAAAGUAUUUUCACUGGAAAGAGGAAAGUUGUCUGAAUGUUGCGUUUACUUUUUUUCCUUCAUGAAAAGAAACACGCACGC